rnacentral:lncRNA from 1 species
AUUUUCAGCAAUCAGGCGCCCACCUGGAGAGCAAGAGAAUACAAUUCAAGUUUCAGAAAUCAGGCGCCCACUUGGAGAGCAAGGGAGUACAUUCAAGUUAUGGCAAUCAGGCGCCCACCUGGAGAGCAAGGGAAUACAAUUCAAGUUUUGGCAAUCAGGCGUCCACCUGGAGAACAAGGAGUAACAGUUCAAGUUAGCAGUCAGGAGCCCGCCUGGAGAGCAGGGAAUACAUUCAAGUUCAGCAGUCAAGAGCCCGCCUGGAGAACAAGGGAGUACAAUUCAAGUUUUAGUUUUCAAGUUCUUAUUGAUAUUUGGUAAUGUGAUUCGUUUUACACUUACAUAUGUUC